GCAGGAUCCGGGUGGACGGUCGAUCGCGCAGCUUUCGGUGCUGCUGCAAUCCGGUGCGCUCGAUCCGCGCGAUCUGGCA
rnacentral:tRNA from 1 species